AGUGAACGCUGGCGGUAGGCCUAACACAUGCAAGUCGAACGGCAGCACAGUAAGAGCUUGCUCUUACGGGUGGCGGGUGGCGGACGGGUGAGGAAUACAUCGGAAUCUACUUUUUCGUGGGGGAUAACGUAGGGAAACUUACGCUAAUACCGCAUACGACCUACGGGUGAAAGCAGGGGAUCUUCGGACCUUGCGCGAUUGAAUGAGCCGAUGUCGGAUUAGCUAGUUGACGGGGUAAAGGCCCACCAAGGCGACGAUCCGUAGCUGGUCUGAGAGGAUGAUCAGCCACACUGGAACUGAGACACGGUCCAGACUCCUACGGGAGGCAGCAGUGGGGAAUAUUGGACAAUGGGGGCAAGCCUGAUCCAGCCAUACCGCGUGGGUGAAGAAGGCCUUCGGGUUGUAAAGCCGUUUUGUUGGGAAAGAAAAGCAGCAGGUUAAUACCCCGCUGUUCUGACGGUACCCAAAGAAUAAGCACCGGCUAACUUCGUG
rnacentral:rRNA from 1 species